GGUACAGUGGUGCAGUGGGUAGCACUGCUGCUUCAAUGCCAGAAGGUUGUGAGUUUGAGUCUGGCCUGAGGCC